rnacentral:piRNA from 1 species
UAUCCAGUAUUGUUGUCUGAGUGUUGUU